GGUUUGAUUAUGGCUGAGAUUGAACGCUGGCGGGGAUGCUUUACACAUGCAAGUCGAACGGCAGCACGGACUUCGGUCUGGUGGCGAGUGGCGAACGGGUGAGUAAUGUAUCGGAGACGCCUAAUGGCAGGGGAUAACUACGCGGCGUAGCUAAUACCACAUACGCCCUUCGAGGGGAAAGCGGGGGGACCUUCAGGCCUAACACUAUUAGAGCAGCCGAUAUCAGUUAGCUGGUUGGCGUUGAGGUAACGGCUCGCAAAGGCGACGAUCCGUAGCUGGUUUGAGAGGACGACCAGCCACACUGGGACUGAGACACGGCCCAGACUCCUACGGGAGGCAGCAGUGGGGGAAUUUUGGACAAUGGGGAAACCUGAUCCAGCCAUCGCGUGUGCGAUGAAGGCCUUCCGGGUUGUAAAGCACUUUUGGCAGGAAAGAAACGGCACGGGAUAAUACCCCGUGCAACUAGCCAAUACCUGCAGAAUAAGCGCCGGCUAACUACGUGCCAGCAGCCGCGGUAAUACGUAGGGUGCAAGCGUUAAUCGGAAUUACUGGGCGUAAAGCGUGCGCAGGCGGUUCGGAAAGAAAGAUGCUGAAAUCGGAAAGCUUAACUGGAACUGCAUUUUAACUACCGAGCUGAAAUUGUGUCAGAGAGGGAGGUGGAAUUCCGCGUGUGAGUGAAGUAAGCCAGAUAUGCGGAGGAACACCGAUAGCGAAGGCAGCCUCCUGGUAUAACACUGACGCUCAUGCACAACGCGUGGGGAGCAAACAGGAUUAGAUGCACUGGUAGUCCCGCCUAAACGAUGUCAACUGGCUGUUUACAGGACCUUCGGGCCUUAUUGGCCGCAACUAACGCAUCAAGAGAUUGAUACGCCUGGGAAGUACAGUCGCAAGAUUAAAACUCAAAGGAAUUAACAGGGACCCACUAAGCGGUGGACAGUGUGGAUUAGUUCAGUGCAACGAAGAACCUUACCUACCCUUGGCAUAUCUGGAAUCCCGAAGAGGUCCGGUUCGCAAGAAGGGCGGAACACAGGUGCUGCGCCUUGGCUGUCGUCAGCUCGUGUCGUGAGAUGUUUGGGUUAAGUCCCACCAACGAAGCGCAACCCUUGUCAUUAGUUGCUACGAAAGGAGCCUCUAAUGGGACUGUGAUGUUGACAAACCGGAGGAAGGUGGGACGACGUCAAGUCCUCAUGGCCCAUAUGGGUAGGGCUUCACACGUCAUACAAUGGUCAGGACAGAGGUCGCCAACCCGCGAGGGGGCCAAUCCCAGAAACCCGAUCGUAGUCGGAUCGCAGUCUGCAACUCGACUGCGUGAAGGAGUCGGAAUCGCUAGUAAUCGCGGAUCAGCAUGUCGCGGUGAAUACGUUCCCGGGUCUUGUACACACCGCCCGUCACACCAUGGGAGUGGGUUUACAGAAGUAGUUAGCCUAACCAAUAAGGAGGCGAUUACCACGGUAGGAUUCAUGACUGGGGUGAAGUCGUAACAAGGUAGG
rnacentral:rRNA from 1 species